UUUUAUUUGAUAUUAUCAAUAAUAAAAUCUGCUCAAUGAAUAUUAAAUUGCCGCAAUAUUGUGCUAAGGUAGCAUAAUAAUUUGUCUUUUAAAUAAAGACUAGAAUGAAAGAUUAAACAUUUUAAAUUAUAUCUAUAAUAUAAAUAAUAUAAAUUAUUAUAAAUGUAAAAAACCAUUUAUUAAAAAGAAAGACGACAAGACCCUAUCGAACUUAACUAAAGUUAGACUGGGGCAGUUAAUUAAUAAUUAUUUUAAUUUUCCUUAUCCUAUGAUCUAAAAUUUUUAAUUAAAAAAUCAAGUUACCGUAGGGAUAACAGCGUAAUAUUAUUCCAAAGAUCUUAUAAAAAAUAAAGAUUACGACCUCGAUGUUGAAUAAUAACCUUAUUAAUGUAAAAAUUAUAUCAUACUACAAAGGAAGUCUGUUCGACUUUUAAAUAAUUACA
rnacentral:rRNA from 1 species